rfam:Lepisosteus oculatus linkage group LG21, whole genome shotgun sequence.
GCCAGCAGCCCUAUCGCCCUGCAGCUCCCAGCUGGCAGCCCCUCUGGAGCUCAGCAGGUGUGAGCCUGGUCAGUACCUGGAUGGGAGACCUCCUGGGAAAGCUGAGGCUGCUGCUGGAA